ensembl:snoRNA Snord113l3 small nucleolar RNA, C/D box 113 like 3
CGGGCCAAUGAUGACAAGGUUUCGGGAUUAUUAGUCACAGACGAUGACUACAUCUCUAGCAGUCUGAGGUCCAC